rnacentral:rRNA from 1 species
UUAAGUUAAUAAGGGCGCACGGUGGAUGCCUUGGCACUAGAAGCCGAAGAAGGACGUGACUAACGACGAAAUGCUUUGGGAGCUGUAAGUAAGCGCUGAUCCAGAGAUGUCCGAAUGGGGGAACCCACUAGCUACUGGCUAGUAUCCAUAACUGUUAAGGUUAUGAGAAGGAAGACGCAGUGAACUGAAACAUCUAAGUAGCUGCAGGAAGAGAAAGCAAACGCGAUUGCCUUAGUAGCGGCGAGCGAAACCGGCAGGAGGGCAAACCGAGAAGUUUACUUCUCGGGGUUGUAGGACUGCGACGUGGGACUUUAAAAGGAUAGAAGAAUUACCUGGGAAGGUAAGCCAAAGAGAGUAAUAGCCUCGUAUUUAAAAUUCUUUUGAGCCCUAGCAGUAUCCUGAGUACGGCGAGACACGCGAAAUCUCGUCGGAAUCUGGGAGGGACCCAUCUCCCAACCCUAAAUACUCUCUAGUGACCGAUAGUGAACCAGUACCGUGAGGGAAAGGUGAAAAGCACCCCGGGAGGGGAGUGAAAUAGAACCUGAAACCGUGUGCCUACAACAAGUUCGAGCCCGUUAAUGGGUGAGAGCGUGCCUUUUGUAGAAUGAACCGGCGAGUUACGAUAUGAUGCGAGGUUAAGUUGAAGAGACGGAGCCGCAGGGAAACCGAGUCUUAAUAGGGCGACUUAGUAUCAUGUUGUAGACCCGAAACCAUGUGACCUACCCAUGAGCAGGUUGAAGGUGCGGUAAGACGCACUGGAGACCGAACCAGGGCACGUUGAAAAGUGCUUGGAUGACUUGUGGGUAGCGGAGAAAUUCCAAACGAACUUGGAGAUAGCUGGUUCUCUCCGAAAUAGCUUUAGGGCUAGCGUCGAUGUUAAGUCUCUUGGAGGUAGAGCACUGUUUGGGUGAGGGGUCCAUCUCGGAUUACCAAUCUCAGAUAAACUCCGAAUGCCAACGAGAUAUAAUCGGCAGUCAGACUGCGAGUGCUAAGAUCCGUAGUCGAAAGGGAAACAGCCCAGACCACCAGCUAAGGUCCAAAAUAUAUGUUAAGUGGAAAAGGAUGUGGGGUUGCACAGACAACUAGGAUGUUAGCUUAGAAGCAGCUAUUCAUUCAAAGAGUGCGUAAUAGCUCACUAGUCGAGUGACCCUGCGCCGAAAAUGUACCGGGCUAAAACAUAUUACCGAAGCUGUGGAUGACACGUUAGUGUCAUGGUAGGAGAGCGUUCUAUGUGUGAAGAAGGUGUACCGUGAGGAGCGCUGGAACGCAUAGAAGUGAGAAUGCCGGUAUGAGUAGCGAAAGACAGGUGAGAAUCCUGUCCACCGUAAGACUAAGGUUUCCAGGGGAAGGCUCGUCCGCCCUGGGUUAGUCGGGACCUAAGGAGAGACCGAAAGGUGUAUCCGAUGGCCAACAGGUUGAUAUUCCUGUACUAGAGUAUAAAGUGAUGGAGGGACGCAGUAGGCUAACUAAAGCAGGCGAUUGGAAGAGCCUGUCUAAACAGUGAGGUGUAAGAUGAGUCAAAUGCUUAUCUUUAUAACAUUGAGCUGUGAUGGGGAGCGAAGUUAAGUAGCGAAGUUAGUGACGUCACACUGCCAAGAAAAGCUUCUAGCGUUUAAUUAUACUCUACCCGUACCGCAAACCGACACAGGUAGUCGAGGCGAGUAGCCUCAGGUGAUCGAGAGAACUCUCGUUAAGGAACUCGGCAAAAUGACCCCGUAACUUCGGGAGAAGGGGUGCUGACUUAGGUCAGCCGCAGUGAAUAGGCCCAAGCAACUGUUUAUCAAAACACAGCUCUCUGCUAAAUCGUAAGAUGAUGUAUAGGGGGUGACGCCUGCCCGGUGCUGGAAGGUUAAGAGGAGGGUUUAGCGUAAGCGAAGAUCUGAAUUGAAGCCCCAGUAAACGGCGGCCGUAACUAUAACGGUCCUAAGGUAGCGAAAUUCCUUGUCGGGUAAGUUCCGACCCGCACGAAAGGCGUAAUGAUUUGGGCACUGUCUCAACGAGAGACUCGGUGAAAUUUUAGUACCUGUGAAGAUGCAGGUUACCCGCGACAGGACGGAAAGACCCCAUGGAGCUUUACUGCAGUUUGAUAUUGAGUAUCUGUACCACAUGUACAGGAUAGGUAGGAGCCAUUGAAGUCGGGACGCCAGUUUCGACGGAGGCGUUGUUGGGAUACUACCCUUGUGUUAUGGCUACUCUAACCCGGAUAGGUUAUCCCUAUCGGAGACAGUGUCUGACGGGCAGUUUGACUGGGCGGUCGCCUCCUAAAAGGUAACGGAGGCGCCCAAAGGUUCCCUCAGAUUGGUUGGAAAUCAAUCGCAGAGUGUAAAGGUAUAAGGGAGCUUGACUGCGAGAGCUACAACUCGAGCAGGGACGAAAGUCGGGCUUAGUGAUCCGGUGGUUCCGUAUGGAAGGGCCAUCGCUCAACGGAUAAAAGCUACCCUGGG